GAUCCGUAGCUGGUCUGAGAGGACGACCAGCCACACUGGAACUGAGACACGGUCCAGACUCCUACGGGAGGCAGCAGUGGGGAAUUUUGGACAAUGGGGGCAACCCUGAUCCAGCCAUUCCGCGUGAGUGAAGAAGGCCUUCGGGUUGUAAAGCUCUUUCAGCAGGAACGAAACGGUGGCCACUAAUACUGGCUACUAAUGACGGUACCUGAAGAAGAAGCACCGGCUAACUACGUGCCAGCAGCCGCGGUAAUACGUAGGGUGCGAGCGUUAAUCGGAAUUACUGGGCGUAAAGCGUGCGCAGGCGGUUAUGUAAGACAGGUGUGAAAUCCCCGGGCUUAACCUGGGAACUGCGCUUGUGACUGCAUAACUCGAGUGUUGCAGAGGGGGGUGGAAUUCCACGUGUAGCAGUGAAAUGCGUAGAGAUGUGGAGGAACACCGAUGGCGAAGGCAGCCCCCUGGGUCAACACUGACGCUCAUGCACGAAAGCGUGGGGAGCAAACAGGAUUAGAUACCCUGGUAGUCCACGCCCUAAACGAUGCGAACUAGGUGUUGGGGAAGGAGACUUUCUUAGUACCGCAGCUAACGCGUGAAGUUCGCCGCCUGGGGAGUACGGUCGCAAGAUUAAAACUCAAAGGAAUUGACGGGGACCCGCACAAGCGGUGGAUGAUGUGGAUUAAUUCGAUGCAACGCGAAAAACCUUACCUACCCUUGACAUGUCAGGAAGUCUGCUGAGAGGUGGAUGUGCCCGAAAGGGAACCUGAACACAGGUGCUGCAUGGCUGUCGUCAGCUCGUGUCGUGAGAUGUUGGGUUAAGUCCCGCAACGAGCGCGACCCUUGUCAUUAAUUGCCAUCAUUCAGUUGGGCACUUUAAUGAGACUGCCGGUGACAAACCGGAGGAAGGUGGGGAUGACGUCAAGUCCUCAUGGCCCUUAUGGGUAGGGCUUCACACGUCAUACAAUGGUCGGUACAGAGGGUCGCCAACCCGCGAGGGGGAGCCAAUCCCACAAAGCCGAUCGUAGUCCGGAUCGCAGUCUGCAACUCGACUGCGUGAAGUCGGAAUCGCUAGUAAUCGUGGAUCAGCAUGUCACGGUGAAUACGUUCCCGGGUCUUGUACACACCGCCCGUCACACCAUGGGAGUGGGUUCCACCAGAAGUAGGUAGGCUAACCGCAAGGGGGGCGCUUACCACGGUGGGAUUCAUGACUGGGGUGAAGUCGG
rnacentral:rRNA from 1 species